rnacentral:rRNA from 1 species
UGGGGAAUUUUGCACAAUGGGGGCAACCCUGAUGCAGCGACGCCGCGUGAGCGAUGAAGCCCUUCGGGGCGUAAAGCUCUUUCGACCGGAACGAUAAUGACGGUACCGGGAGAAGAAGCUGCGGCUAACUACGUGCCAGCAGCCGCGGUAAUACGUAGGCAGCAAGCGUUGUUCGGAGUUACUGGGUGUAAAGGGCGCGCAGGCGGGAUAAAAAGUCAGUGGUGAAAUCCUACAGCUUAACUGUAGAACUGCCUUUGAUACUUUUAUUCUUGAGUUCGGGAGAGAGAGACGGAAUUCCAGGUGUAGUGGUGAAAUACGUAGAUAUCUGGAAGAACACCAGUUGCGAAGGCGGUCUCUUGGUCCGACACUGACGCUGAGGCGCGAAAGCGUGGGGAGCAAACA